AUAGUGGCUUAGACCUGAAGUAAGCCCAUUCUGUCCUGGAUUGACGUCUGCGACUUCCCCAUUCUCCAGAAAACAGAUCCAAAUAUCAGAGCAGAUGCCACAGACAUUCUUGCACGGACUUUGUUAGUUGGUCCAUCUCUAGAAGCCUAUGCAGUCAAGUGAAGAAGUCAAUCAGACACACUGCUCAAGUUAAUUCAAAGAGUCUCCCACAUCAUUGAAUCUACUUUAGAUCAUGCAUUAAUGGGAGGCUUACCUGCAUCCAUGCACGCUUAAGCAACAAAAAGAACUGCCUCCACCAUCCAUCUUUUCUCUCAACAAUGGCGUUUCUGCGAGGUCUCAUGCUCUUCUUUGUUUCUUGUUUUACUCCGAGGGGAGUGGCAUAAAGAAUCGUUGAUGAACGCUGGGAGAAGGCAUCAACAAGAGCAUGUACUCUCUUCUGCGAAGAGUAGACACUAUCCGAAGAGCUAUAGUCUACUGAUAUUAGAUCUGCUAAAAACUCAGCAGGGUUUACAUGCUCUGGGCAAAGAAAC